AUAUGCCUACAACAUAUCAUUAAUUCACUGGAUCCCAUUAGAACUCUGCAGUUAAGCGUACUCAAGCUAGAGUAGUAUUGGGAUGGGUAACCGCCCAGGAAGUCCUAUUGUUUUACAUGCC
rnacentral:rRNA from 1 species